rnacentral:rRNA from 1 species
GACGAACGCUGGCGGCGUGCUUAACACAUGCAAGUCGAACGGAAAGGCCCUGCGUUUGUGGGGUUCUCGAUUGGCGAACGGGUGAGUAACACAUGAGUAACCUGCCCUUGACUGUGGGAGAACUUCAGGAAACUGGGGCUAAUACCGGGUAGGAUCUCCUGCUGCAUGUUGGGGGUUGGAGAGUGUCGGCGGUUGUGGAUGGACUCGCGGCUUAUGAGCUUGUUGGGGUGGUAGGGGCUUACCAAGGCUUUGACGGGUAGCCGGCCUGGGAGGGUGAACGGCCACAUUGGGACUGCGAUACGGCCCAGAAUCCUACGGGCGGCAGCAGUGGGGAAUAUUGCACAAUGGGCGGAAGCCUGAUGCAGAAACGCCGCGUGCGGGAUGACGGCCUUCGGGUUGUAAACCGCUUUCGCCUGUGACGAAGCGUGAGUGACGGUAACGGGUAAAGAAGCACCGGCUAACUACGUG